ACUCUCAGUGAUAUCGAUGUGUUUACCGCCUGGAAAACGUCGCUGAUGGGAUGCGUGCAGCGCUCUGAAUGCAAGGCGAGGACUCCUGGCACUGUUUUAGAUGCACUUAAAUGAACUGCAGUGAGGCCAAGCACAGCUGAGAGGCGGAGCAGUAACAAAACAGACAACUUGGUGCCAAAAAGACGGUAACUUGGCCCACUCAGAACACACAUUUUACUCCUGUAAAAUGCCUGGAAGAUUUUAAAUUCAUCUUCCGUAAUCAUCUCAGUGUCAGACCUGUAAUUUGAAAUAGGUGAAAAAUAGUUUGAAAUAGGCUGUUUUCAUUAUUUUAUUAUAUGCCAAUUAUUUUCUCUGUAAAAUGUCAGGGAAUACGGAGAAAUGCCUUUGAAUUGCUUGCUUUGUCUGAGUAACACCAAAACUUUUUAUCUUCACACAAGACAAAAAAAACUAACAGAUUGUUAUAAUUGAGAAGCCAUAGCCAGUGAAUAAUGACUAAAUAAACUAAAAUAUUAAUUCCCAAAAAUAUUUGUUGAUGGCUGUAAGUUAAAUUGAAUUGAAUUGAAAUUUCUGUUGAUCAAUUUAUUGAGCAACUGGAUCAAUUCUGAUGUAAAAUCUGGUUAUUUCAUCUCCCAUCUCAACACUCAGUCAUUAGACGUCAACCAAACAAACAAACAAUCAACAAAACCCUGAUUCUGAAAGAAAACAGACAUUUCGUACCCAACUCUUCUUCUGCAGUCAAAAAUACAGAUAUGUGCAAGGAAACUGGACAAAACCCAUUUCGGCAUGUAAAAGGGGCAUGUGAACGUACACCUUGACAUCCAUCCGCACAUUGUGCACAGCGUUAUGUCCUACGCGUAAACAGACGUGGGUUCCCAGGGAUUGACGGUAAACAGGUUGCAUUGAAGUGCUACGACGUAUUUCGUUGGCACAAGAGGAGUAACAUUUACAAUAUGUACAUCUGAGAUUAAAUAGUCAUGCGUUUCCUAAAAGCAAACUGUUUGGUAGAAAAUAAAAAUUCUCACGUUCCAUUCAGAUAUAAUCUUUUCAGUCAGUGUGUGGAAAGUGUGGUUUUAGCAAAAAGAACACGUUAGUUUCAAAUGGCAUUCACUUGACUGUAUACAUCAUACUGCUGUGGCAUGUAUGAUUGGUUCUGUUACUGUACAGGAUGCAUGAGCAGUGAGAAUUAAUUAGGAAGUGUUCUGCAAUUGGCAUCGAGUUGAAUGAAACUAAAAACAAAAACAAAAACAUGCUACUGAAGGUACUCCAACAAGAGUCACAAUAAAGCUGACUGACUGAGCAAUCCUCUGAGUGGCAUCCCAAACCUGACACGCUCUAGUGAACGACGCAGCCCGGAAGAGCGGCGCCGUGAGAAACACUUCUGACUACAAACCUUCGCCUGUUUCUGUGUCUUUUGAAGUCAAUAAAUAAAUUAAA